rnacentral:lncRNA from 1 species
UCCAUCAAAUCCUGACCCUAUUAGCCCACCAAUAUGUCUCUGCACGACUUUUUGCCCAAGGAUUUUGUAUUUUUUCACUUUUUCUCCAACAGUCACGUGACUUUUGGAAAUAUACCACGUGACCAAAAAAUGACGAAUUAUCUUCAAACUUAAUUUUUUGAAAUAUUUUACCAAUUAUCUUUCAUUUGAGCCCAACAUGGCAUGUGUAUGACCAUUGAUGCGAAUUCUGUAUUCAUUUAAACUUCGAUAAUGUAUUUUCGAUAAGUAAAGGUCUAAAAUGCAUGAAAGGGAAAGGG